rnacentral:rRNA from 1 species
UUGGAGGGCAAGUCUGGUGCCAGCAGCCGCGGUAAUUCCAGCUCCAAUAGCGUAUAUUAAAGUUGUUGCAGUUAAAAAGCUCGUAGUUGAACUUCGGGGUUUACCCAUUGGUCAGGCUUAAUUGUCUGUACUGGUGAGAUAAAUCUCUACCUUCUGAGGAACUUUCAUGUCAUUAAUUUGGUGUGAUUGGAAAUCAGGACUGUUACUUUGAAAAAAUUAGAGUGUUUAAAGCAGGCUAACGUCUGAAUACAUUAGCAUGGAAUAAAGAAAUAGGACGGAUUGAUUCUAUUUCGUUGGUUUCUAGGAUCACCGUAAUGAUUAAUAGGGAUAGUUGGGGGCAUUAGUAUUCAAUUGUCAGAGGUGAAAUUCUUGGAUUUAUUGAAGACUAACUACUGCGAAAGCAUUUGCCAAGGAUGUUUUCAUUAAUCAAGAACGAAAGUUAGGGGAUCGAAGACGAUCAGAUACCGUCGUAGUCUUAACCAUAAACUAUGCCGACUAGGGAUCGGACGAAGUUAAUUUUAUAAUGACGCGUUCGGCGCCUUACGGGAAAC